UCUUGCUCUUCUUCGGUUCUUAUCCUUCACUUCCGUUAAAAAUCCACCCGAGAUCCGAUCCUUUGCUUCUGCAUAUGCCAGUUCGUACCACAAUGAGCUACUAGAAGUAUUACUGAAUCUAUGCAAAGUCAUUCUUGAUGGCUCCAUGUGCCAAUUAAUGAGCUGCGAAUUCUUCUACAACUCAUCCAGAACUACCCUCCCACGAGCAUGUGUAUGAACUUUAAUAUCUCAGUUAAUUUCUGCAUUUUAAGUACAAAUUUUGUUGGCUUAAGUAGAAGAAAAUUAACAAAAUUUGCCCUGAUUUUAUUUUAAAGGUUAAAUAAUAGCCAAUUUCCAAGCCUAAACUUUUCCCCAAAACCCAAACAUAUAUCUUGUAGGCAAGCAAAAUUUACCAACUUGGUAGAAACCUCGGCCAUGUCAGUUUGGUCUUGGACAAGAGAAGAUUAGCAGCAAACUAAGCGAGUUGGGGCUACAUCACGAGGCAAGUGGAGAAUAUAAAAAUGGGUAAUUUAUUUAUACUUAUAGAUUAUGUUUUAUAAAGGG
rnacentral:misc_RNA from 1 species